UACGUAGGGGCAAGCGGUUGUCCGGAUUUAUUGGGCGUAAAGAGCGUGUAGGCGGCCAAGCAGGUCCGCUGUGAAAACUCGAGGCUCAACCUCGAGACGUCGGUGGAAACCGUUUGGCUAGAGUCCGGAAGAGGAGAGUGGAAUUCCCGGUGUAGCGGUGAAAUGCGCAGAUAUCGGGAAGAACACCCGUGGCGAAGGCGGCUCUCUGGGACGGUACUGACGCUGAGACGCGAAAGCGUGGGGAGCGAACAGG
rnacentral:rRNA from 1 species